UACGUAGGGUGCAAGCGUUAAUCGGAAUUACUGGGCGUAAAGCGUGCGCAGGCGGUUUUUUAAGCCAGUUGUGAAAGCCCCGGGCUCAACCUGGGAACUGCGGUUGGAACUACAAGACUAGAGUGUGUCAGAGGGGGGUGGAAUUCCGCGUGUAGCGGUGAAAUGCGUAGAUAUGAGGAGGAACACCGAUGGCGAAGGCAGCCCCCUGGGAUAACACUGACGCUCAGGCACGAAAGUGUGGGGAGCAAACAGG
rnacentral:rRNA from 1 species